rnacentral:rRNA from 1 species
ACAUGCCUACAACAUAGCAUUAAUGCAUUGAAUCCCAUUAGAAAUCUGUAGUUAAGCACUCUUGGGCUAGAGUAGUAAUGGGAUGGGUGACCGCCUGAGAAGUCCUAGUAUUUUACAUGCC